rnacentral:ncRNA from 1 species
CCUACGGGAGGCAGCAGUGGGGAAUCUUCCACAAUGGGCGAAAGCCUGAUGGAGCAACGCCGCGUGGGUGAAGAAGGUCUUCGGAUCGUAAAACCCUGUUGUUAGAGAAGAAAGUGCGUGAGAGUAACUGUUCACGUUUCGACGGUAUCUAACCAGAAAGCCACGGCUAACUACGUGCCAGCAGCCGCGGUAAUACGUAGGUGGCAAGCGUUAUCCGGAUUUAUUGGGCGUAAAGGGAACGCAGGCGGUCUUUUAAGUCUGAUGUGAAAGCCUUCGGCUUAACCGGAGUAGUGCAUUGGAAACUGGGAGACUUGAGUGCAGAAGAGGAGAGUGGAACUCCAUGUGUAGCGGUGAAAUGCGUAGAUAUAUGGAAGAACACCAGUGGCGAAAGCGGCUCUCUGGUCUGUAACUGACGCUGAGGUUCGAAAGCGUGGGUAGCAAACAGGAUUAGAUACCCUGGUAGUC